rnacentral:rRNA from 1 species
AAUAGAUACCCUGGUAGUCCACGCCGUAAACGAUGAGUGCUAAGUGUUAGAGGGUUUCCCGCCCUCUAGUGCUGCAGCUAACGCAUUAAGCACUCCGCCUGGGGAGUACGGUCGCAAGACUGAAACUCAAAGGAAUUGACGGGGGCCCGCACAAGCGGUGGAGCAUGUGGUUUAAUUCGAAGCAACGCGAAGAACCUUACCAGGUCUUGACAUCCUCUGACAACUCUAGAGAUAGAGCGUUCCCCUUCGGGGGACAGAGUGACAGGUGGUGCAUGGUUGUCGUCAGCUCGUGUCGUGAGAUGUUGGGUUAAGUCCCGCAACGAGCGCAACCCUUGAUCUUAGUUGCCAGCAUUUAGUUGGGCACUCUAAGGUGACUGCCGGUGACAAACCGGAGGAAGGUGGGGAUGACGUCAAAUCAUCAUGCCCCUUAUGACCUGGGCUACACACGUGCUACAAUGGAUGGUACAAAGGGCUGCAAGACCGCGAGGUCAAGCCAAAUCCCAUAAAACCAUUCUCAGUUCGGAUUGGUA